GCGGCGGACGGGUGAGUAACACGUGGGUAACCUGCCCAUAAGACUGGGAUAACUCCGGGAAACCGGGGCUAAUACCGGAUAACAUUUUGAACCGCAUGGUUCGAAAUUGAAAGGCGGCUUCGGCUGUCACUUAUGGAUGGACCCGCGUCGCAUUAGCUAGUUGGUGAGGUAACGGCUCACCAAGGCAACGAUGCGUAGCCGACCUGAGAGGGUGAUCGGCCACACUGGGACUGAGACACGGCCCAGACUCCUACGGGAGGCAGCAGUAGGGAAUCUUCCGCAAUGGACGAAAGUCUGACGGAGCAACGCCGCGUGAGUGAUGAAGGCUUUCGGGUCGUAAAACUCUGUUGUUAGGGAAGAACAAGUGCUAGUUGAAUAAGCUGGCACCUUGACGGUACCUAACCAGAAAGCCACGGCUAACUACGUGCCAGCAGCCGCGGUAAUACGUAGGUGGCAAGCGUUAUCCGGAAUUAUUGGGCGUAAAGCGCGCGCAGGUGGUUUCUUAAGUCUGAUGUGAAAGCCCACGGCUCAACCGUGGAGGGUCAUUGGAAACUGGGAGACUUGAGUGCAGAAGAGGAAGUGG
rnacentral:rRNA from 1 species